rnacentral:rRNA from 1 species
GACGAACGCUGGCGGCGUGCUUAACACAUGCAAGUCGAACGGAAAGGCCCUGCUUUUGUGGGGUGCUCGAGUGGCGAACGGGUGAGUAACACGUGAGUAACCUGCCCUUGACUUUGGGAUAACUUCAGGAAACUGGGGCUAAUACCGGAUAGGAGCUCCUGCUGCAUGGUGGGGGUUGGAAAGUUUCGGCGGUUGGGGAUAGACUCGCGGCUUAUCAGCUUGUUGGUGGGGUAGUGGCUUACAAAGGCUUUGACGGGUAGCCGGCCUGAGAGGGUGACCGGCCACAUUGGGACUGAGAUACGGCCCAGACUCCUACGGGAGGCAGCAGUGGGGAAUAUUGCACAAUGGGCGGAAGCCUGAUGCAGCAACGCCGCGUGCGGGAUGACGGCCUUCGGGUUGUAAACCGCUUUCGCCUGUGACGAAGCGUGAGUGACGGUAAUGGGUAAAGAAGCACCGGCUAACUACGUG